GGCGGGCGCGGCCCGAAUCACGUGACCGGCGGCGCCUGCGGGGUGUAACGUCGCGGUGGAGGCCAGGAUCCGGCUUCAGUCCCGGUUCUGCAUCCGUAGCGGGGAUGAACCCUUUUAUUCAUUCUGGCUCUUAGCCAGAGGUGACCUCAUUGGACGUUGUCCGCGCCAGCCUUUGAGUCAUUUAACCAGUCUUCUUGAUGGCCUGCUAGAGAAUAAUACCUGUUAAGCUACUGCCAGGCCAGUGGGGGACGGUAUCAUGCAAGUAUCUGAGUUUGAAAAGAUUAAUUUCUCUUCUGGAAGUCAGCCCUGUCAAGCCUAGUUUUAAACGGCUCAUAUAAAUUCUCGUCACGCUAUGCACGCCUAAUACUGUGCGUAUUAUACUGUAUUGUACUCUUGUUUUUCGACAUCUAUUUGCUCUUUCAUUCGUUUCUCCGUCCAUUCAACAAAUAACAUUGCUCCUCUUCUGUGUCAGGCACGCAAGGCUUUGAGUAUAAAGCAGAGACCAAAAGAGGUGUUGCCAGUUUCAGGAACAGACUUCGUUGUAAACUCCUGAAGAUUGGGAUGUCAUUUUGUGUCCUUUAUAUUCAGUGUCUGUCCCAGGACUUGGCACAUAAUGUGCAAUAAGUAUUUCCUGGAGGAAUAAAUGGAAUGUGUACAUAAGGAAAAGGGACCCCUUCCAGGGCCCAAGAAUGGGCUCUGUCUGACACAUGGAAGUGAAUUGUCUGAGGAAACACAGGUGUUGACAAAGAGUGCCUGGAGGAAGAAGCUCUCGAAAAGGAGAUUGAAAAGAAGCAGUCAAAGAAAUAAACCUGGCAUAAUAGAACCAUGUCAGAGAGGCCAAGGGAGGGAAAAGAAAAUUUCAUGAACAGUUGAAUCUACUGUGUUGAUUUCAAUGAAGAAUUUAAGGGCAGUGAACCCUGAGACAAACUGAUGGCAUUUAGUAGAUAGGAAGUCACAAAUAAUCAGCUUAUGGAUCAACCAAACUGUAUCCUUGAAAGAAAAUUUGUAACCUCUCUUCAAAAGUAGGUUAUUUUUCCAGCAGCUGCAGAGGCAGUUAAAGACUAUGGCAGUCUUUAACUCUGGGUAAAGGGACACUUGGAGGAGGAAAUGGAAACCCACUCCAUUCUGCUUGCCUGGAGAAUCCCAUGGACAGGGGAGCCUGGCAGGCUACAGUCCAUGGGGUUGCAAAG